AACGAACGCUGGCGGCAUGCCUAACACAUGCAAGUCGAACGAGACCUUCGGGUCUAGUGGCGCACGGGUGCGUAACGCGUGGGAACCUGCCCUUAGGUUCGGAAUAACUCCCCGAAAGGGGUGCUAAUACCGGAUAAUUUCUUCGGACCAAAGAUUUAUCGCCUUUGGAUGGGCCCGCGUUGGAUUAGCUAGUUGGUAGGGUAAAAGCCUACCAAGGCGACGAUCCAUAGCUGGUCUGAGAGGAUGCUCAGCCACACUGGGACUGAGACACGGCCCAGACUACUACGGGAGGCAGCAGUGGGGAAUAUUGGACAAUGGGCGAAAGCCUGAUCCAGCAAUGCCGCGUGAGUGAUGAAGGCCUUAGGGUUGUAAAGCUCUUUUACCCGGGAUGAUAAUGACAGUACCGGGAGAAUAAGCUCCGGCUAACUCCGUG
rnacentral:rRNA from 1 species